CUCUGCCACCCUCUUGAAAGUCAUUUAAUGUGAAGAAGAUAUCACAGAUUCCAUGUCAAGUAACCCAGUUCACUGGUCUGGCAAAAGACAGCUACAUAGCCAUGCAGUUGUUCUCUCUGUGAAACUACAGAUCUGCACACGUUGAGCACUGGUUCAGGGCCACUCUGUCUCACAGCAGUUGGUCCUUACAAUAUGCAAGCUGCCACAGGAACUUGUAAUUCAAAUCCAUAACGUUCUCAAAUAGUCAAUGGCAGAAAAUAUCAUGAUAAAAAAUCAAAGGCUCAGAUCAUUAUGUCUGCCAUACUUCAUCCAUGAGUUGUCUCCUAACUUCGCUGCAAGAGCACUGAUGUUGCAGGUGACUAUGUCCCCAGACAGCUGUGUGGGGGCCUAGCCAUACAGUUGCACCAGGCAAAGCAGACCUUCAAAGGCCAUCAGACGUGUUUCAUCUUAAAUGUACCAGACACAGCCAAAAUAUCCAGUUGGUUAUGGCAGCAAACUGGAAGGAAGGAAGAGAGAAAGGUUGAUACAAACACUACGGCCAUGGCCCUGCCUAGCUGCUCCCACUGCUGCCAGCCACCAGGCCCUUCUCAAACUAUGAAUGUGGAUGAGAAUUAGUGGUGACAGAUUUAUUGAUAAGGAUCAAGUUGACACUGGUCAGGAGCUUCAGGAACUCGGACCACCACUCAGCAAUUACUUCUGCACAUCCAAUCUCCAGAUCAAUCCAAUUUACUCCCACCCGCUCCCAAAUCAGUCCUUCUGUCAUCCUCUUGCAGCUCCCCCCUAUCCAGACACCUGCUGUUCCUCCUCUUUGCAGGGAAGGGAGGCUGCAGGUACCGUCAAGAUGCUUUCCCUGGCUCUGAAUGGCGGAGGUGACAGAAAUACAAACGACUCUUCAUUCUCUGAGCAUUCCAGCAUGAGUUUUCAAAAAUGAAAGUUUUUCAAAAUUUUCUGUCAUUCUGAUAGUUCUUUAUCCUGAAGCAGAACAGGACUGUUUCUUAGGAUAGAUGUAAAUUUUUCCUGAUGGAGCAAAGAGGCUACAGCCUCACUACAACUCUCAGGUCAAGAGCACUUUUGAAAGUCUUGAACUAUUGGGAUUCUCCUACAUAUCUAGUUUGCCCUGGGGUAUUUAACAGUUUCAGACACCUUGUAAGAGAGAUUAGAAAAUGGGACGGAAACCUUGACAAAUACACUGGAAUAGUUUUUGAAGAUCAUAGCCAGAGAAGGAGAUCUAGAAGUCUCACUAUCCCCAGCCCUCCAACUAAAUGUGUUCUUAUCAGAUGCUUUGGUAUUGUUACCUAUUUGCAUUAUUAAGCCAACGGACCCUUCUGUUUGGUGUUCUGGAAGGUGCUCUUCCAGUCUUGGGAGACUGCAGCCUAAAGACAAGUGAACCUUGGGUGAGAACUGUAUUUGAUGACAAGCAGAACGCUCCUGGGGGUGACACCCUGCUCAGGGUGUUGAUAUUUCUGGGUAUUUCCCACAUUUCCACGACAGCUGACAGAAAAUCAUUUUCAAUACCCUUUAGGUUGGAUCCCACUAAUUUACAAAUCAGAUAAAGGGAUAAUGGUAACAAAGGUUCCUCGUACCUCCUGGGUGGUUAGAAACAGAUUAACAAUGUUCAGGGUGUGUACCUACUGCUUGGAGAACUGCAUUGAAUUAAGAGGUGUCCCGUGGACAUAGAAUUUUCUCUGUGAAGAAAAUAAGAAAUCAGGCUCUAUGAUAAUUCUUCAAUUUCUAUGCUAAAUUUUUGGA